rnacentral:rRNA from 1 species
UACGUAGGUGGCGAGCGUUGUCCGGAAUUACUGGGCGUAAAGGGCGUGUAGGCGGUCUAGCAAGUCUAAUGUGAAACCCCAGGGCUUAACCUUGGGCAUGCAUAAGAAACUGCAGGACUUGAGGGCAAGAGAGGAAAGUGGAAUUCCUAGUGUAGCGGUGAAAUGCGUAGAUAUUAGGAGGAACACCGGUGGCGAAGGCGACUUUCUGGAUUGUCCCUGACGCUGAGGCGCGAAAGCGUGGGGAGCAAACAGGAUUAGAUACCCCCGUAGUCC